AUGUGGUCUCCAGCAUUUCUUCAGAUACUCCUUCCCAGCCAGCUGUGAGAAUGACUUUGAAUGCUCAGUCAGCCCCCCAUGGUCCAGGUUGGGCUCCCCUGUCUCACGCAAAGGCUACCUUGCCCCUGACUCUUCAGGGCUAAGCCUCCAGGUUGGAAGCCCCAAAGUGUGGAGGCUGACCUAAGGCACCUGCCAUCUGCUACCAUGGACCUCUGUACUGCCCUGAUGCAUAAGACACCUGCAAAGUCUAUCAAGCUCCAGAUGGUCGGAGAGAUGCAAUCUGCCAUGGAAGUAUCACCUGACUUUUGAAGGGAUCCAUUAGAUGUGAAAACUGAGUCCAAGGAUAAACACGCUCCAAAACCAUCAGCUGUCGUCAGCAGAGAUGGGGUUUGAACCCACAUCUGUCUGGUUCCAAACUCUUCCAGUUGUCUGAUGAGAGACCUCCCUACCCCAAGAGUCUGCAGUCAGUCUAGGAACUGGGCAGCUAAGGAAAUACCUAACAUACCUGCCAAGCACAACAAUGAAAGUAUGCAGAAGUAGUUGGUGAGCAUUUGGGUCAUUUCCAGUUUGGGACCAUUAUGAACAAAGCUGCAGCAUCCAUACUUGGCCAUCUGCACUCAUUGCCAUGGGGCUCCAUCAAGAAUCAAACUGCAUUCAACAUUAAAAAUCAAGUCACUCACCACGUCAAGAAAGAACAAUUGAAAAAAAAUAACAAAAUAAGUUGUUUUCUGUAUGGAAACCCUUGCCACAAAAUAAUAAUGAUGAUGAUAUUCAUACUUCUGUGUUAGAAAAAUAGGAGAAAAGUAAGUUAAAGCACUGCCACUAUCUUGCACGUACUUGAAAAAUGAAGAAGACUGUUACAGACCAGGAUCAUAACUAGACUACCUGCGAUUAUUUGACAGGCAGCCGUGUGGACUAUGAUACAAUGUGAACAUGACCAAGUCUUUCUGGCUAAAGGAUCUGGAGUAAAAUCUUAGCUGCCAAAGUAAUUAUUAUGGAAUUCAGGAGGCUUACACAGGGAACCAGUAACAGUAUUCAAACAUCUUUUUGAGGUUGUGGAUUUUUGAGUGGUCGGGCAGGUCAGCAUGUGUAAAACUCACUCCUGGUGUGCCAAGUGCACAGCUGUGUCUUAACCAGUAGAAAGACAAAUUCCAAGACAAAACAUCUGUGGUCAAACAAUUUUGGAAGAGUCUGUGCCAAAGUUCAACUUCAGAUUAACACUGCAGCAAUUCUCAGAACCCUUUAAAAUGCCAAUACUUGUGCAGAUGAUUACAUGACCUGUGUAACUAACUCUACAUCAUGUACAAUCAGAUGAAUGAGAAGUUAUACUUCAU